rnacentral:rRNA from 1 species
AUACGUAGGGGGCAAGCGUUAUCCGGAUUUACUGGGUGUAAAGGGAGUGUUGGACGGCACUGCAAGUCUGGAGUGAAAGCCCGGGGCUCAACCCCGGGACUGCUUUGGAAACUGUGGUGCUAGAGUGCAGGAGAGGUAAGUGGAAUUCCUAGUGUAGCGGUGAAAUGCGUAGAUAUUAGGAGGAACACCAGUGGCGAAGGCGGCUUACUGGACUGUAACUGACGUUGAGGCUCGAAAGCGUGGGGAGC